rnacentral:rRNA from 1 species
UACCAGCACCCCGAGUGGUCGGGACGUUUAUUGGGCCUAAGCAUCCGUAGCCGGUUCUACAAGUCUUCCGUUAAAUCCACCUGCUUAACAGAUGGGCUGCGGAAGAUACUAUAGAGCUAGGAGGCGGGAGAGGCAAGCGGUACUCGAUGGGUAGGGGUAAAAUCCGUUGAUCCAUUGAAGACCACCAGUGGCGAAGGCGGCUUGCCAGAACGCGCUCGACGGUGAGGGAUGAAAGCUGGGGGAGCAAACAGG